ACUCAGUGAAAUUGAACUCGCUGUGAAGAUGCAGUGUACCCGCGGCAAGACGGAAAGACCCCGUGAACCUUUACUAUAGCUUGACACUGAACAUUGAGCCUUGAUGUGUAGGAUAGGUGGGAGGCUUUGAAGUGUGGACGCCAGUCUGCAUGGAGCCGACCUUGAAAUACCACCCUUUAAUGUUUGAUGUUCUAACGUUGACCCCU
rnacentral:rRNA from 1 species